rnacentral:rRNA from 1 species
AGCGCGGAGCACGAGGAAUUCUGCGUGAAUCUGCCGGGACCAUCCGGUAAGGCUAAAUACUCCCGAGAGACCGAUAGCGAACCAGUACCGUGAGGGAAAGGUGAAAAGCACUUCGAACAGAAGAGUGAAAUAGUUCCUGAAACCGUGCGCCUACAAGCGGUCGGAGCAGCGUAAGCUGUGACGGCGUGCCUUUUGCAUAAUGAACCUACGAGUUACCGUUGCCGGCAAGGUUAAGGGUCAUGAGACCUGUAGCCGAAGCGAAAGCGAGUCUGAACAGGGCGUAUAGUCGGUAGUGGUAGACGCGAAACCAAGUGAUCUACCCUUGAGCAGGUUGAAGUCCGGGUAACACCGGAUGGAGGACCGAACCAAUAAGCGUUGAAAAGCUUCUGGAUGACUUGAGGGUAGGGGUGAAAGGCUAAUCAAACUUGGAGAUAGCUCGUACUCCCCGAAAUGCAUUUAGGUGCAGCCUUGACCAUUACUAAUGUGAGGUAGAGCGACUGAUAAGAUGCGAGGGCUUCACCGCCUAUCAAGUCUUGAUAAACUCCGAAUGCGCAUUAGUUUGAGGUCAGGAGUGAGGGCAUGGGUGCUAAGGUCCGUGCCCGAGAGGAGAAGAAUCCGGACCACCUGCUAAGGUCCCGAAAUAACAGCUAAGUUAAACUAACGAAGUCAGAUUGCUAAGACAGCUAGGAUGUUGGCUUGGAAGCAGCCAUUCAUUUAAAGAGUGCGUAACAGCUCACUAGUCGAGGAGUUUGGCGUGGAUAAUAAUCGGGUAUCAAGCUGUUUACCGAAGCAGUGGGAUCAUAUAAUGAUCGGUAGGGGAGCAUUCCACUCUGCGUCGAAGGUGGGGCGUGAGCCCUGCUGGAGCGUGUGGAAAAGCAAAUGUAGGUAUAAGUAACGAUAAAGGGGGUGAGAAACCCCCUCGCCGCAAGACUCAGGUUUCCUGAUCAACGCUAAUCGGAUCAGGGUCAGUCGGGUCCUAAGGCUCAGCCGAACGGCGAGGCCGAUGGCAGAACCGGUUAAUAUUCCGGUACUACCCUUUAGGGUGACGUGGAGACGCAGUCGUGACAAUGCCGCCAGCUGACGGAAUAGCUGGUUAAAGGGUGUAGAAGCUGAUUGUGGCAGGCAAAUCCACCACAAGAUUCGAACCUGACAGUAUGGAGCGUCCUUCCGGACAAUCCAACAGUGCAUGUAAUCAUACUGCCAAGAAAAUCCGCUAAACAUAACCUUCAGGGUACCCGUACCGCAAACGGACACACGUAGUCGGGUUGAAUAUACUAAGGCGCUUGAGUGAUUCACGGUUAAGGAACUAGGCAAAUUAACCCUGUAACUUCGGGAAAAAGGGUCCCUACCCGUUAGCGGGAGGGCGCAGAGAAUCGGUCCAGGCAACUGUUUAACAAAAACACAGGGCUGUGCGAAGUCGAAAGACGCUGUAUACAGCCUGACACCUGCCCGGUGCUGGAAGGUUAAGAGGAGAUGUCAUCGCAAGAGAAGCAUUGAAUUGAAGCCCCAGUAAACGGCGGCCGUAACUAUAACGGUCCUAAGGUAGCGAAAUUCCUUGUCGGGUAAGUUC